rnacentral:rRNA from 1 species
GACGAACGCUGGCGGCGUGCUUAACACAUGCAAGUCGAACGGAAAGGCCCUGCUUUUGUGGGGGGCUCGAGUGGCGAACGGGUGAGUAACACGUGAGUAACCUGCCCUUGACUUUGGGAUAACUUCAGGAAACUGGGGCUAAUACCAGAUAGGAGCUCCUGCUGCAUGGUGGGGGUUGGACAGUUUCGGCGGUUGGGGCUGGACUCGCGGCUUAUCAGCUUGUUGGUGGGGUAGUGGCUUACCUAGGCUUUGACGGGUAGCCGGCCUGAGAGGGUGACCGGCCACAUUGGGACUGAGAUACGGCCCAGACGCCUACGGGAGGCAGCAGUGGGGAAUAUUGCACAAUGGGCGGAAGCCUGAUGCAGCAACGCCGCGUGCGGGAUGACGGCCUUCGGGUUGUAAACCGCUUUCGCCUGUGACGAAGCGUGAGUGACGGUAAUGGGUAAAGAAGCACCGGCUAACUACGUG